rnacentral:rRNA from 1 species
AAAGGUGGAUUUCUUGGAAAUGGCAGGCUAUGAAGGACGUGCUAAUCUGCGAUAAGCUAGGAGUAAUCGAUAAGAGAUACUUAUUCCUAGAUCUCCGAAUGUAGAAAUAUGAUAUUUCGAAAGAUUUAUCGUUCAACAGCCAAUUCAUAACUGUUGAAAGCGAACCUCGUGAAGUGAAACAUCUCAGUAGCGAGAGGAAAAGAAAGCGAAUGCGAUUCCCUCAGUAGUGGUGAGCGAAAGGGGAACAGGCCAAACCUGUUUUACAGGGGUUGUAGGACACUCUUUUCCCUCUAAAUUUAUAGGAGAAAUUUUUGGAAAAAAAUGGCAUAGAGGGCGAACCCCCCGUAUCCAAAAUGAAUUUAGAGUUUGAGUGUAUCCUGAGUAGGGCGGGACACGUGUAAUCCUGUUUGAAUCUGCCCAGACCAUUGGGUAAGCCUAAAUACUAACCAUUU